rnacentral:lncRNA from 1 species
UCCAAUGGGCUGCCACCUCUGGCAAAUGGCUGAUGCCUCCUGCAUGAAAUCAGGGGACUGACCUGGGUGGCAUCUGCAGGUGCAGCCUUCGUGGUACCUCUCUGAAUGGCCUGGGCUGGGGCUGGCUGGCCAGUGGGAGGUGGAGAGGGCAACCCAGGACAGAGGCCCUGUGAGGCAGGGCCAGGACUUGAAGUCUGGUGCUGACAACUUCUCUAAGAGGAGGGUGGACCCCACCGCCCCAGCUUCCUGCUGGGCCCCAAGGCUCCGGAGACUCAGGAAGUCUUCCAACCCAUCUUCCGAACCUAAGCAACCAGAAUGCGAGACCCCUGCACCGUCCACUUGGGAUUGUUGAGGCCAAUGCCUUCAUGAUAGAGAAUCAGUACCUGAGAGUCAAACGGAAAGACUAUUAGAAAUGUUCCGCACAGCUGCUUCCCCCAGCCAUUCUCCUGAGCUUCAUUUUUCUUUAAAAAUAUAUUAAAAAGAGCUUCACUCCAGAGAGGCUGUCAAGGAAUCUGGUAAAACAAGGGUCCCUUUCAGUUCUUCUCUUGAAAGGGGAUAUUUUUUCUGCUUUCUCUCCAAGGUUUCCCAGAGGGUCGGAUUUCCUUUUCUUUCAGAGGUAGGAGCUGAGCCACGCCUGCAGACACCUGCUCCUCAGCUUUGGAGAUAAUCGCGGGGUGAUCAGCUCUGCAAAGGGCCUCACAGCUGCUGGGCCUGAACCAAAAGGGCCUCAAGGGAGAAGCUUUGAGGGGAAUGUGGGAGGGGGAGAGCAAGGGCGUCCCCUUUUGGGGAGAGACCCAGGUGUGAAUCACUGAUCCAACAUUUACUAGGCCUCUUGCCUGGGAAAAGACUUUGAGCUGCCUCUGUGCCUCCCUGGCCAGGCUAUGGGGAGGUCUUGCACAAGGUUUGGUAGCCAAAGGGGAGAAGUUGGGCCUCAGCCCCUGCCCUCUCAGAGGCCCAGCCCAGGGACAGAAUCCACCAAUCGCAACAACCACUCAUGUCUCAAGAUUCCUCAGUCCACUUAGCCAAGAGUGUCCCUGACUCUGCCCUUCACCUGCGUUCCGGGCAGUGCUCGUGCCCUGACUUGCUGGGUGUCUUUAGGAAUGACCCUGGCCCUCCUGACACUCCAAGUUCUC